GAUGAACGCUAGCGGCAGGCUUAACACAUGCAAGUCGAGGGGCAGCAUGAGGGUUAGCAAUAACUCUUGAUGGCGACCGGCGCAAGGGUGCGUAACGCGUGAGCAACUUGCCCGUUUCUGGGGAAUAACCGGUGGAAACGCCGACUAAUACCCCAUAGCAUUGAUUUCAGGCAUCUGUUAUCAAUUAAAGGAAUUUCGGAAACGGAUAGGCUCGCGUGACAUUAGCUAGAUGNGGGGUAACGGCCACCAUGGCUACGAUGUCUAGGGGUUCUGAGAGGAAGGUCCCCCACACUGGAACUGAGACACGGUCCAGACUCCUACGGGAGGCAGCAGUGAGGAUAUUGGUCAAUGGUCUGACGACUGAACCAGCCAUGCCGC
rnacentral:rRNA from 1 species